rnacentral:lncRNA from 1 species
CCCCGUUCUCGUCCCUGUACGCCCCCGCCACCCGCUACUACCUCCACUGCAGGUGAGCCACCGCACCCACGCCCUCCUGUGGUGUGCCCUCCUCCAUCACGCCCGCAUCCGCAACCUCGUCGGCUUCAGGAGCAGUGGGUUGCGCUUCCACUUCCUCAAGUGCGUUGCAGGUCCUACUAGGGCCUCCUCUGGUUUUGCCCCUCAUCGACGAAGAAGCUGCAGUGCUGGAGCUUGCAGUAGGUUGCAGUUCGGAAAAAAUUGAAUAAAAAGUUAUAGUGCUGCUGAAAGACACAAUUUAGAGAUGUUGUCGUCGACGUUCUCCUCCAUUGAUGCAGGCUGUUGCUCUCUCUCCCUCACAAUCUCUCUCUCUCUCUCUUAUGAAUUUGGAUAUCACCUACUGAUGUACUUCACCAUUCCCUAAAAAAAGGUACUACCCAGCUAGCGCUAUAGUUCAAGUUUGCAGCUGCUCUUUGCUUGCAUCUGAAUUUCAAGUUUGCAGACGACGAACAUGUUGUAGAUGGUCGGUAUGGCGGCGCCCAGAAUGAAGGACAAACAAGCAAAACUGCUAGUGUUGCUGCCUCCCUCGUCUUCAUUUUCCUGACUAGAAAAACAUCAUUCUCCCUCUCCUUCAGAAACUGUUGAUCUGAAACUGACCAAAAAACUGCUAGUGUUGCUGCAAAUUUACCCCUCAAAGAGACAAGCAAAACCCGCAGAAGUCCAUAAAUUGUAGCAGCUUCAGUUCAUUAUGAAAAGAAGGAGCGAAAAAAUGUUCGUGUAAUGGAUCGUUGAUUCACUAGGUGCAUAAUAGUUGUUUGGGAAAGUUCAACUUCAUUAUUACGGUGCACUUCAUGUCAAUCCCCAACUAGCAAAUUAUAGAAAAAAGUGAAACAUGGUUUACAUGUUGAAGUUUGUGUGUGUUUAGUUUGCUUGGUCUGUGUUACCUGCUAAUGCCUUACUUGUGUUCCUGAUUAUUUUAACUCCGAACAUGUUGAGGUGGCUUUGGACUUCAGCGACAAGGCGAGCUCAGAAAAACUCGCCGCCCCUCAGGUCGAGCUCAACUGCUCGUGUCUAAGGUCGCUCCUCCCGCUGCUCGUCACCGGCCAAGAUGGUGCGAGGCCGAGCUUUUGCACCAGGUCAACGCGACCUCCCGUCGGUGACUCCCUGAGACAGAGGCAUGCACAUCCUUGUCCGCCUUGUAUGCCGUCCAGCAGCCCUUCUGUCGCCGCGUCUGUGAUCUGCCUCCGUAGCUGCCAUGUUGGUGCCUACAAGUUGCAACCUGUAGUCAAGAUCCUGGGUGCUCCAUGCGUCUCGCUGCAGUCCAGAUUGGGGUAUAGACACCGUCCAAGUAAGAACAAUGGUGUAAAUUAGUAUAUCCUAUGACUCUUGCAGGGGGAAAAUCAGAUGUUGAUAUUCAGAAAUACACUCUCGAAAGAUUUUCUGAAAUCUUGAUAACAUGUUAUUUUGCAUAAUGGAUGUUUGUGUUCUUUUCAUUGUUAAUCAAUUUUCCCAAUUUUUUUCUCCAUGCAUUCCUCUAUUCUCACUGAACCUGUAUAGUUCUCUGAACUUACUGAUAUAUUAAGUGAAAUUUAUUUUUAUAGUAGUUUUGGAUCCAAAACUAGUGUUAGCUUCUUGUUUUUAAAUUUUCUUGUAUACUAGUUGCCCCUUAUCAUCUACUCCCUCCGUUCCUAAAUAUUUGUCUUUCUAGACAUUUCAAAUGACUACCACAUACGGAUGUAUGUAGACAUAUUUUAGAGUGUAGAUUCACUCAGUUUGCUCCGUAUGUAGUCACUUGUUGAAAUGCCUAGAAAGACAAGUAUUUAGGAACGGAGGGAGUACAUCAGAUGGCAUGAGUGGAUCAUCUUGUCUUUUCAGAGACCGAAUCUCAUGCUAUGUAAAUUUGGCAGAAUAUGUGAUGAAUAAUUGCUACUCUCUGUGUAUUUUUUAUUUCCAAACUCCUGCGCCCACUUAUAAAAAAUGCAUAUCCCCAAGCUCUAAUGUUUUACAACUUAAAAGUUGAGGGAAAACAGAACCGUGGAACUUCAGGUAUGAAACUGCAUGACGUUCAAAUAUAUAAAAAAAUUGCAUUUGAUUUGGUCUCGUCUUGCAUGCAGGCAACAUUUCUGUUCAGGGUCCUCAGCACCACCAGAUUCCUGGAUGUCCUUGCAGGCCAGCUCCCUAGGGAAUAUGAUGUGGUGUGUCAUGUAAAAAAAUCUCAGAUGUUAGUUAGAGAGAAAUCGUUGCUUUCCUAUAAUUCUCAUAAGUGUGGUCUCGUGAGUGUGUCAUGUACAAUUGUUCGUGUUUAAGAAGUGGGUAAACUUUUUAUGCCUUUAUGUUAGAAAAAACUGGAAUAUGAUAAACCCUUUUGGUUCUUUUUUUGUUUUCUCUUUUGUAAAUAUACUUAUUAUUAAUGAAAAUUACCCUAGAACAAUUGUUCUACGGUUGGUGCUUCAAAAAACUAUUGUCCGUGUUGGAUUAUUUGGUACAACCACAUGUAUACUUGUAAAAGAAAUACCUAUUUCCUUUACAAGGGUGUGUUUUUAUUAAGAAAAUAAAAGAAAGGAGAAGUUUAAUUUCUAAAGAUGAUGCGGUUCAACAUGCAAAACCAAUGCAAAAACUGUACAGGUUCGCCCACCAAAACUCCAUCAGUUUGCAUGGUGUGCAUGCGUGCGUUAUGUUGCUGCCGCAUGUGUCGUGUGUGUGUGUGCGCGCACACACAUGACCUGAAGAAAAGUUUCAGAUUUGCAGCCAGCUAGUGUGCACCGCAUGUGUUUGUGCUUUUGCCUCAAAAGAGAAUAGCAUUUUAAUUAUAAACAAGAAAAAAUAAUACACAUACAUAUUGUCCCAUGUAUGUGCAUAAGAUACUAGUUGCCAUGUAUUCUCGUGGUCCACAAAAUGCAAAAAAA